GGGGCUAUAGCUCAGUGGUAGAGCACCUCGUUUACACGUGCACCGAGAAUGUCUACGGUUCGAAUCCGUAUAGCCCU
rnacentral:tRNA from 1 species